ACUAGAUCGCAGCUGACGAGAUAGAAGGUACUACGAAUUGUGUGUCAGUGAUGUUUUGUGUGAUAACGAGCGGGAUUUAUCUAUUAAACAUUUCAGUGCGAUAAACAGCAGCAUUCGGCAGGAUGUGCACGUCAUCAAAGUUAAUGUGGUCACCGUGACUUCACUGAUUCAAGAAUAUAGGAGGAACCAUGAGAAAACAAUGCAGUGAAGCACUACAAACUUUGCAAAGAAGUGAGUAAACUCCAGUUUCAUUUAAAAUGCCACCUCAAAGUUCAUGGAAUCCCAGAUGAAGCAAUACAGUAAUGAUUUACAUGGAGAGAAGAGAGAAGAGAAAACAAAACAAAUACGAUUGCCAGAAUGUGAAGGUUACCUUGCCACCAAACAUCUGAAUCAACAGCUCCAUAAGUUUUAUCAUUUUAUUCCAACCAAUAAGCCAAGUAAAAGAUAAAGUUGAGAUUUACUUUGUAUUAUUUAGUUUGAUGUAAGAAAUUAAAUUUUACAAUAUAUAUAUUUUUUUUUUUUUUUUUGUGAAUCUGAAAGAUUUUCAUCGUUACUUUGAAGUUUACUUUUGGAGUCAGAAUUAAGGCAAUUUUGUAUAUAUUUUUUGUUCUGUAAAAAAGACUAUGUUGCUUGCAUGAUCUUUCAAACUGAUGAUAUUUUUUAAGUCUUUCUGAAGCAAUUUUUCAUAAAAUCAAUUUUAUUAAAAGUUCUAACCUAACUACUCUGUAAUCCAGCAAAAUUACUAAUCUGGCAAUUUUUAAAUACACUAAUGACUAUUAUAUUCUCUACAUAUUCAGCAACACCAGUCAAAGCACAGAGAUUUAUUCUGAGAAAACCAUAAUAAAGAGCAAUAUAGAAAUCCUACUUCCAGUCAUUCAAAACUACCACAAUUAAAAUAAUAAAUCUUAAGAGGCCUUUGCAUAGGGUCAGAAGCAUUUUACUUGCAGUAAAGAGACAGGUAAUUUAAAGCCAUGUUAUAAAUUAUACAUACAGACUGGGAACAAAAAUAUAGGCCGAGUCAUGUUUACAAACUUGAAGCCAGUGCACGUGAAUGUAAAUUUAAGUCAAAGCUUUUAAUAAAGGUUUGGUUUGAUCUUAAAUCAUUUAAAAGUUAACCUUUAGCAACAGUUUAUAUCUGAAUUCUAGUUAAAGUUGAAUAUAUCAUGUUUCUUAGGUGUUCUCUUGUUACAUGUAACAUGACCAGGGAAAGUAGUGCUUACCUAUGAU